AUUUGACCUCAAAUCAGGUAGGAAUACCCGCUGAACUUAAGCAUAUCAAUAAGCGGAGGAAAAGAAAAUAACAAUGAUUCCCCUAGUAACUGCGAGUGAAGAGGGACAAGCUCAAAUUUUAAAUCCGUCGGGUUACACCUGACCGAGUUGUAAUUUGAAGAGGCGUUUUCCGCGUUUUUGAUCAGUCCAAGUCCUUUGGGAUAGGGCAUCAUGGAGGGUGAGAAUCCCGUUCGGCUGAUCAGAUUCGCUCUACGAUACGUCAUCAAAGAGUCAAGUUGUUUGGGAAUGCAGCUUAAAAUGGGAGGUAAAUUUCUCCUAAGGCUAAAUAACGGCGAGAGACCGAUAGCGAACAAGUACCGUGAGGGAAAGAUGAAAAGAACUUUGAAAAGAGAGUUAAACAGUACGUGAAAUUGUUGAAAGGGAAACGAUUGAAGCCAGUCGUACCGGUGGGUAAUCAGCCUUUCGGCGUGAUUAUGUGGAGCGUGAGGAGUUAAACGCCCUCAUGGCCUGCAUAUUCGUGUUCUUUGGGUGUACUUACCCGCAUGGUAGGUUAACAUCAAUUUCGAACGUCAUAAAAUGGUUGGAGGAAUGUAGCUUCGAUCUCGUAUUGAAGUGUUAUAGCCUUCGGCAGAUGUGAUGAUCGGGAUUGAGGAUUGCAACGGAUACCCCUCGGGCUACCCGUCUGAUCUCUGAAAGUUACUCUGGUGCCGAAAGCUCGCUUACGGUCAUCAAAGUUGACGUUCAACAGGUUAGAACGGGAUAAAUUCGUUAAGGAUGUUGACGUAAUGGCUUUAAACGACCCGUCUUGAAACAC
rnacentral:rRNA from 1 species